UACGGAGGGGGCGAGCGUUAUUCGGAAUUAUUGGGCGUAAAGGGCGCGUAGGCGGCUUGAUGUGUCAAAGGUGAAAUCCCUCGGCUCAACUGAGGAACUGCCUUUGAAACUGUCUGGCUUGAGGCCGGGAGAGGGUAGCGGAAUUCCCAGUGUAGCGGUGAAAUGCGUAGAUACUGGGAGGAACACCGGUGGCGAAGGCGGCUACCUGGACUGCACCUGACGCUGACACGCGAAAGCUAGGGGAGCGAACGGG
rnacentral:rRNA from 1 species